UACGUAGGCAGCGAGCGUUGUUCGGAAUUACUGGGCGUAAAGAGUGUGUAGGCGGUGCUCUAAGUUCGGUGUGAAAUCUCCUGGCUCAACUGGGAGGGUGCGCCGGAAACUGGAGUGCUUGAGCGUGGGAGAGGAAAGCGGAAUUCCUGGUGUAGCGGUGAAAUGCGUAGAGAUCGGAAGGAACACCAGUGGCGAAGGCGGCUACCUGGACAAAUACUGACGCUGAGGCGCGGAGAGCGUGGGGAGCAAACAGG
rnacentral:rRNA from 1 species